AACCGGUUCAGAUAAGUUCAGUUCAGUUCAGUAAAUGUGAACAUGCCCUAAGUCAUGGUAUAUUUAGGUAGGGUAAAGUUUACAUUAGUUUUCCGAAUACUACGAAUGUAAUGUUAUAAUCUAAUACCUAUAUUUUAUAUUUUGUGCACAAAUUAUACACAUUGGCUAUUUUCACUUUACAUUAUACUAUUUAAGUUGAUAGCAACUUAUUUUAUAAAUAAUAAGGGUGUAUUCUAUUCACCUGGUUUUCACUGAUCUUAACUUAUCUGAACUUAUUAGACCUAGCUUAUUAAAACUAAUUUUAAUUGUAAUUUGUACUUGAGGUAAACCUUAAACCUGAACAGAACUUAUCUGAACUUAUUACACCUGAAAUAAGUGAAAAUAAGGUGAACUGAACAAACCCUAACUUUUGUAUGUAACUUGUCAUACUAUAUGACCAUCCACCCUGAAUUACUCGGUUAGUGUAAUAGGGGGUAAUUUGUUAUGGUUAUAAGGGUUACUUAAUUAAUAGUAAGGUAGGAGUUAGUUUGUCAUUGUGGUAAGAGUUAUUUAAUAAGUAAAAUAAGUGGUUACUCCAUUAGUGUGACAAUGGUCACUUAAUAAGUGUAUAUAAUAAGGGGUUACUCGAUCAAUAUAAAUAGAAAAAAUCACUUAUCAUGAUUAUCUUCAUGAUAAUUUUGGCAGAAUUUCGUUUCAAAAUCGGGAAAUUUGCGAAACUAAACUAGCCCCAAAAAAUUGAGAGGGAAUUACUUUGAUUUCAUCUGUUAUUCCCUCCCCGAUUUUGUGAAAUACUCCGUAUGUGGUGAUUUAUCCCUUGUCUAUCUUUCUUUAUCAAAUUUUCCUCCCGUAAUUUUACCCUAAGCAAUUUCAAAAAACAAUCUUACUGAACUCUGGACGAGCGAAGGGAGACGAAUUAAAAUAGCGUUUGGAGUUUGUGGCCGAUCGAACUUGAUUGGUCAGAGUACAUAUCACUAUCCAAGUGCUGAUAUGUCUAGAUCGGGUGGAAAAGCACAUUCAAAGUAUGAUUACAUAAGCCAAAAUGAGUAUGAACAACAAAGUCUCGAGACAAUUGAAACUAACAAGAUUAGAAUGAAGACAUUGGGCAUAAAGCGCAUUACUGCCUGUUUGACAAGCUUAGUAAGUAGUUCGAAAGUUAAGAAAAGUAAGCAGAAGUACAAUGUUUCCCUUGAGAAAGAUGGUGAUUAUGUACCCGAGGAAAAUGAGGAAGUUGAGUUCGAGCAAGAAACUCACAAUGUGACUUCAAAUAAAAAGAGAUUAUACAAUGAAGAUGGCUAG